rnacentral:rRNA from 1 species
GACGAACGCUGGCGGCGUGCUUAACACAUGCAAGUCGAACGGAAAGGCCCUGCUUUUGUGGGGUGCUCGAGUGGCGAACGGGUGAGUAACACGUGAGUAACCUGCCCUUGACUUUGGGAUAACUUCAGGAAACUGGGGCUAAUACCGGAUAGGAGCUCCUGCUGCAUGGUGGGGGUUGGAAAGUUUCGGCGGUUGGGGAUGGACUCGCGGCUUAUCAGCUUGUUGGUGGGGUAGUGGCUUACCAAGGCUUUGACGGGUAGCCGGCCUGGGAGGGUGACCGGCCACAUUGGGACUGAGAUACGGCCCAGACUCCUACGGGAGGCAGCAGUGGGGAGUAUUACACAAUGGGCGGAAGCCUGAUGCGGCAACGCCGCGUGCGGGAUGACGGCCUUCGGGUUGUAAACCGCUUUCGCCUGUGACGAAGCGUGAGUGACGGUAAUGGGUAAAGAAGCACCGGCUAACUACGUG